rnacentral:lncRNA from 1 species
GAUACUGUGAAGAAACAACAUAGAAGAAAACCGUGCCUUAUUUGACCUUGUAGAAUAUAAUCUGAUUGCUCAUCUCUAGACUACAAUGUGGGGAUUUGAGGAGAAUCAGAAAGACUAAAAAGUGGCAUAUCCAAGAUUGGACAUCCUGAUUGAGUCAAGAAAUGAUUGGAUUCAGAGUCUUGGAACCAGAUAAGGACCUCAUAUCAAAGGAAUGCAGUGCAUGCAUGAUGAACAAGACCUGGCAAUUAUUUUUUCUUAUGGAACUUAAGGAAAUCAAGGAAGACUUUUGAACCCCAAAAAGUAAAAAAUAAUAAUAGUAAUGGAUAAAAUAAUUUACUAAGAAGUAGAAGAG